rnacentral:lncRNA from 1 species
CGAAACUAAGUGAGCACUAACCGCGUGCGAAAACAAAGGAAAAUAAAUGGAUUAGGGAAAAAUCAAGAAGAAGAAAAAGAAAAGAAAGAUGUAAAACUCAGAGAAUUUUGGCAAGAGGAGAGGAAGAAGAAUAAACGGCUGAAUUUUUUUUGGAAAAGAGAGUCAAAAUUCAUAUAUGAGAAAAAAUUAAAAUAAAAUCCCAAUAACCCCCAAAAUCCCUUAAUCUUCUCCCUUAAUUCCCACUGCACAUCCACUACUCAGAAUCCCCCUAUUACACAACUCUAUCCCG